GAUGAACGCUAGCGGAAGGCUUAAUACAUGCAAGUCGAGCGGUAGGUGGCUUCGGCCAUUGAGAGCGGCGCACGGGUGAGUAACGCGUACAUGACCUGCCUGUCAGAAGGGGAUAGCCCUGGGAAACUGGGAUUAAUACCCUAUGGUAUUGAUAUUAUGAAUGAUAUCAAUUAAAGUUGAGGCGCUGACAGAUGGAUGUGCGUCUGAUUAGCUAGUUGGUAGGGUAACGGCCUACCAAGGCGACGAUCAGUAGGGGGGGUGAGAGCGUGGUCCCCCACACGGCUACUGAGACACGGACCCGACUCCUACGGGAGGCAGCAGUAAGGAAUAUUGGUCAAUGCCCGCAAGGGUGAACCAGCCAUUCCGCGUGGAGGAUGAAGGCCCUAUGGGUUGUAAACUUCUUUUAGAUGGGAAGAAAAUGCUAGAUGUAUCUGGUACUGACGGUACCAUCAGAAUAAGCACCGGCUAACUCCGUGCCAGCAGCCGCGGUAACAC
rnacentral:rRNA from 1 species